AAGUCGUAACAAGGUUUCCGUAGGUGAACCUGCGGAAGGAUCAUUAUCGAGUUUUGAAAGUAGGACUUGAUGCUGGUGCGGAAACGUACAUGUGCUCAGUCUUACGCUCAUUCCACUCAACCCCUGUGCACUUAUCGAAGUUAGUAGUCGUUCCUCCUUUAUUGGAGCCGUCGAGAGUCGCGAGUAAUCAUUAGAGAGUCUUUAUUGACUUUUGAAGGUGGAAGCGUCGCUUUGACUGGGAGCGGUGAAACCUUUGACUUUAUUAUAAACCUUUAUUUGUCUUGUAGAAUGUAAUGCUCCUAGUGGGCGAAAUUAAAUAUAA
rnacentral:misc_RNA from 1 species